rnacentral:rRNA from 1 species
AUUGAACGCUGGCGGCAUGCCUUACACAUGCAAGUCGAACGGUAGAGUAGCAAUACUUGAGAGUGGCGAACGGGUGAGUAAUAUAUCGGAACGUGCCCAGUCGUGGGGGGAUAACGUAGAGAAAUUUACGCUAAUACCGCAUACGAUCUAAGGAUGAAAGCGGGGGAUUCGCAAGAACCUCGCGCGAUUGGAGCGGCUGAUAUCAGAUUAGGUUGUUGGUGAGGUAAAAGCUCACCAAGCCGACGAUCUGUAGCUGGUUUGAGAGAACGACCAGCCACACUGGGACUGAGACACGGCCCAGACUCCUACGGGAGGCAGCAGUGGGGAAUAUUGGACAAUGGGCGAAAGCCUGAUCCAGCAAUGCCGCGUGAGUGAUGAAGGCCUUCGGUUGUUAAAGGAC